rnacentral:rRNA from 1 species
ACAAAGGUUGGGCAAGCGGCGGAGUGAAGAGAGAGGGUGCGAGCGUUAAUCGGAAUGAGUGGGCGUAAAGGGAGGGUAGGUGGCUCAUUAAGUCACAUGGGAAAUCCCCGGGCUUAACCUGGGAACUGCAUGGGAUACUGGUGGUGAUAGAAUAGGUGAGAGGGAAGUAGAAUUCCAGGUGUAGCGGUGAAAUGCGUAGAGAUCUGGAGGAAUACCGAUGGCGAAGGCAGCUUCCUGGCAUAAUAUUGACACUGAGAUUCGAAAGCGUGGGUAGCAAACAGGAUUAGAUACCCGAGUAGUC